UACGUAGGGUGCGAGCGUUGUCCGGAAUUACUGGGCGUAAAGAGCUCGUAGGCGGUUUGUCGCGUCGUCCGUGAAAACUUGGGGCUCAACCCCAAGCUUGCGGGCGAUACGGGCAGACUUGAGUACUGCAGGGGAGACUGGAAUUCCUGGUGUAGCGGUGAAAUGCGCAGAUAUCAGGAGGAACACCGGUGGCGAAGGCGGGUCUCGUGGGCAGUAACUGACGCUGAGGAGCGAAAGCGUGGGUAGCAAACAGG
rnacentral:rRNA from 1 species